rnacentral:rRNA from 1 species
UACGAAGGGAGCUAGCGUUGUUCGGAAUCACUGGGCGUAAAGCGCACGUAGGCGGAUGUGUCAGUCAGGGGUGAAAUCCCGGAGCUCAACUUCGGAACUGCCCUUGAUACAGCACGUCUUGAGUCCGAGAGAGGUGGAUGGAAUUCCUAGUGUAGAGGUGAAAUUCGUAGAUAUUAGGAAGAACACCGGUGGCGAAGGCGGUCCACUGGCUCGGUACUGACGCUGAGGUGCGAAAGCGUGGGGAGCAAAC